rnacentral:snRNA from 1 species
CGCAAAGAAGAUUAGCAUGGCCCCUGCGCAAGGAUGAUAUACAAAUUCAUGAAGUGUUCGAUAUUUUU